UAGGGAAUCUUCCCACAAUGGGCGAAAGCCUGAUGGAGCAACGCCGCGUGUGUGAUGAAGGGUUCCGGCUCGUAAAACACUGUUGUAAGAGAAGAAUGACAUUGAGAGUAACUGUUCAAUGUGUGACGGUAUCUUACCAGAAAGGAACGGCUAAAUACGUACCAG
rnacentral:rRNA from 1 species